rnacentral:rRNA from 1 species
UACGUAGGGGGCGAGCGUUAUCCGGAAUUACUGGGCGUAAAGCGCGUGUAGGCGGCUCGAUAAGUCUGCUGUGAAAGUUCAGGGCUCAACCCUGAAAUGCCGGUGGAAACUGUCGAGCUAGAGUCCGGAAGAGGCGAGUGGAAUUCCUGGUGUAGCGGUGAAAUGCGCAGAUAUCAGGAGGAACACCAAUGGCGAAGGCAGCUCGCUGGGACGGUACUGACGCUGAGACGCGAAAGCGUGGGGAGCAAACAGG